AGUGAACGCUGGCGGUAGGCCUAACACAUGCAAGUCGAACGGCAGCACAGUAAGAGCUUGCUCUUACGGGUGGCGAGUGGCGGACGAGUGAGGAAUACAUCGGAAUCUACUUUUUCGUGGGGGAUAACGUAGGGAAACUUACGCUAAUACCGCAUACGACCUACGGGUGAAAGCAGGGGAUCUUCGGACCUUGCGCGAUUGAAUGAGCCGAUGUCGGAUUAGCUAGUUGGCGGGGUAAAGGCCCACCAAGGCGACGAUCCGUAGCUGGUCUGAGAGGAUGAUCAGCCACACUGGAACUGAGACACGGUCCAGAUUCCUACGGGAGGCAGCAGUGGGGAAUAUUGGACAAUGGGCGCAAGCCUGAUCCAGCCAUACCGCGUGGGUGAAGAAGGCCUUCGGGUUGUAAAGCCCUUUUGUUGGGAAAGAAAAGCAGCAGGUUAAUACCCCGCUGUUCUGACGGUACCCAAAGAAUAAGCACCGGCUAACUUCGUG
rnacentral:rRNA from 1 species